rnacentral:rRNA from 1 species
UGCGUAGGCGGAAGAUUAAGUCAGUGAUGAAAUCCUGCAGCUCAACUGUAGAACUGUCAUUGAUACUGAUUUUCUUGAAUACAGUUGAGGUAGGCGGAAUAUGUAAUGUAGCGGUGAAAUGCUUAGAUAUCACAUAGAACACCAAUUGCGAAGGCAGCUUACUAAACUGUGAUUGACGCUGAGGCACGAAAGCGUGGGGAGCGAACAGGAUUAGAUACCCUGGUAGUCC